AUUGAACGCUGGCGGCAGGCCUAACACAUGCAAGUCGAGCGGAUGAAGGGAGCUUGCUCCUGGAUUCAGCGGCGGACGGGUGAGUAAUGCCUAGGAAUCUGCCUGGUAGUGGGGGAUAACGUCCGGAAACGGGCGCUAAUACCGCAUACGUCCUGAGGGAGAAAGUGGGGGAUCUUCGGGCCUCACGCUAUCAGAUGAGCCUAGGUCGGAUUAGCUAGUUGGUGGGGUAAAGGCCUACCAAGGCGACGAUCCGUAACUGGUCUGAGAGGAUGAUCAGUCACACUGGAACUGAGACACGGUCCAGACUCCUACGGGAGGCAGCAGUGGGGAAUAUUGGACAAUGGGCGAAAGCCUGAUCCAGCCAUGCCGCGUGUGUGAAGAAGGUCUUCGGAUUGUAAAGCACUUUAAGUUGGGAGGAAGGACAGUAAGUUAAUACCUUGCUGUUUUGACGUUACCAACAGAAUAAGCACCGGCUAACUUCGUG
rnacentral:rRNA from 1 species